ACAACCAUAUCAUAGUGAAAAACCGGUUCCCUUAAGAUCAUCGAAGUUAAGCAACGUCGAGCUUGAUCAGUACCUAGAUGGGUGACCGCUUCGAAAUACCAGUUUCUGUA